rnacentral:piRNA from 1 species
UAGUGACUGCAUACUGCACAAAACGUGUUU